GACGAACGCUGGCGGCGUGCCUAAUACAUGCAAGUCGAGCGGGCCUCCGGAGGUGCUUGCACCUCCGGAAGGCCAGCGGCGGACGGGUGAGUAACACGUGGGCAACCUGCCUUUGAGGCCGGGAUAACACCGGGAAACCGGUGCUAAUACCGGAUACGUCCUCUUUCGCGCCUGCGAGAGGGGAGAAAGACGGUCUUUAAGGCCGUCGCUCAAAGAGGGGCCCGCGGCGCAUUAGCUGGUUGGUGGGGCAAGGGCCUACCAAGGCGACGAUGCGUUGCCGACCUGAGAGGGUGAACGGCCACACUGGGACUGAGACACGGCCCAGACGCCUGCGGGAGGCAGCAGUAGGGAAUCAUCCGCAAUGGGCGAAAGCCUGACGGCGCAACGCCGCGUGAGUGAGGAAGGUUUUCGGAUCGUAAAGCUCUGUUGUGAGGGAAGAACAGCAUCCGGAGGAAAUGCCGGAGGUUUGCCGGCACCUCACCAGAAAGCCCCGGCUAACUACGUGCCAGCCGCCGCAGUAAGAC
rnacentral:rRNA from 1 species